rnacentral:rRNA from 1 species
UAAGGGCGCACGGUGGAUGCCUUGGCACUAGAAGCCGAUGAAGGACGUUACUAACGACGAUAUGCUUUGGGGAGCUGUAAGUAAGCUUUGAUCCAGAGAUUUCCGAAUGGGGAAACCCAGCAUGAGUUAUGUCAUGUUAUCGAUAUGUGAAUACAUAGCAUAUCAGAAGGCACACCCGGAGAACUGAAACAUCUUAGUACCCGGAGGAAGAGAAAGAAAAUUCGAUUCCCUUAGUAGCGGCGAGCGAAACGGGAAGAGCCCAAACCAACAAGCUUGCUUGUUGGGGUUGUAGGACACUCUAUACGGAGUUACAAAGGACGACAUUAGACGAAUCAUCUGGAAAGAUGAAUCAAAGAAGGUAAUAAUCCUGUAGUCGAAAAUGUUGUCUCUCUUGAGUGGAUCCUGAGUACGACGGAGCACGUGAAAUUCCGUCGGAAUCUGGGAGGACCAUCUCCUAAGGCUAAAUACUCUCUAGUGACCGAUAGUGAACCAGUACCGUGAGGGAAAGGUGAAAAGCACCCCGGAAGGGGAG